CAUUUAUGUCACAUGUCUUAUUGGUCUCUAGUGCGCAUGUGUUGAAUUUCUGCCUUUUAAGAACCGAUUUGCGUAGCUGUGUGAACGUUUUGUCGAAUUCUGUGUGCUCAUCAAAUGCACUUUGAUGCUUUCUCCUGCCAAACACCAUCCGAGUAGUGAAAAUUAUAUCUGGUUAGAUCUUCUCAAAGAUCAUCUCAAAGGAAAUUGUCUGAGACAACAGAAAGUCCUGGAACAAUGACAUCACUCUUGCUGCGGAGAGUGCUGUGGUCUAUAGCAAAACCUGUAUCAUUUUUUGGACACCAAUCGGUAAAGUUUUCAUCCAGUCCAACCAUAAUGGAUGUUUUUACAAAGCCAAUGAUUCACAGGAGCAUUUCAGGAUUUAAAAGUUCUCAGUUUUUACCUGACAGUUAUCUCCCAAUAGUUCAGCAAACCUCCGGAAUGAAAACAAAAACUGCACUCAAAAAGCGAUGCAAUGACUGUUAUUUUGUGAGAAGACGUGGGAGGCUAUUUGUGUACUGCAAAACAAAUGGGAAACAUAAGCAGAGACAAGGCUGAUUUGGUGCUUUUCUACAGGAUGUAGUGCCAUAUGCUGAAAAAGGCUUUAUAGUUUUUCCAACAUACAUAAAUAAAUAAAAAAGUAAAUUUGCA